rnacentral:rRNA from 1 species
GGAGUUUGGACCGUGUCUCAGUUCCAAUGUGUCCGGUCAUCCUCUCAGAUCGGAUACGCAUCCUCGCCUUGGUGGGCUGUUAUCUCACCAACUAGCUAAUGCGCCGCAGGUCCAUCUUAAAGCGGAGCCAAGAGCUCCUUUCAAAUUCAAGAGAUGCCUCUCGAAUUCAUAUCCGGUAUUAGCCAAAGUUUCCUCUGGGUAUCCCAAACUAAAAGGCAGGUUACCUACGUGUUACUCACCCGUUCGCCACUAGGGUGCAAGCACCCUCGUUCGACUUGCAUGUAUUAGGCACGCCGCCAGCGUUCAUC